AACAGGAGCUUGGACAUACGUUAGUGGCGGUGCAGAAAAAAUCCUGGCCAGGCUCCACAUUGUUGAAUUUUCCAUACUCGUGUAUGAGUUCCAUAGAAUUUAAAGAUGCCCAUCCCAAACCUGUAGCGUGCGUUUCAGUAGCUUCCAGAGGAAAUUAUAUUUUAUUCGUUCUACAAUAGGUAGUAAUUGAUCAACAGAAUUUUGGAGACCUAGCGUACAGAAAAUAUUAUGUUACUAAAACUUUCCGUUG
rnacentral:misc_RNA from 1 species